UCAGCAUAUUAAUUUUAAAAUAAAAUGGGAACGCCUUAAUGAAUAGACAAUUUUGUAAAAUUAACUUUGAAAAUAUUGCUAGGGCUAUGGCUAUGAUGGAACUUUAUGUGAGCGCCACAAGCGAUCAAAUAUUUUGAUGUAUACAAAACUUUCCUUUCUUUUUCUUUUUACGUAUUUUGGUAUAAAAUUUACUUAUGAUAUAGCUAACAUGUCUAGUACUUUCUAUCUUUAUUUAUCUGAAAUAUCUGUUACAAAAAUAAGUGGACUUUAAGAAAGAUUAUCGUAAAAAAAUGGACCAAAGAGUUUGAAACCAACACGAAACUAUUAACAUUAUUGUAACUGCUCAGGAGUUUGAAGGAGCAUUCUUUACUUGCACCAAUAAUAAAAAAGAGAGUUUACUUAGCAAAAAUAUGAAAGAAUAGAUCAUUUAAAAAUUAACUUAAGUAAUUAAAAAAAUCUGUACAUAUUUCUGUUACAUGGAGCCAUUAUCCUCGGUGUCAGGCAGUAGUUGUGUAAUUUAACCCUGAUGUGACAAACCGGGAAAUAUUACUAUUAAAUCCUACUAAAUAGAAAAAACACAUUAUAAAUCGUAUAUGUGAGGAGGAUGACAUACUUGUACUUUAUUGCAAUGUACAUAUACAAUCUACAUCGCAGUUCUUCAACGUUUCCAAUACCAUUGUCAGUAACUUAUUGUCUUUUGGCUUUGAUGGAGGUAAAUGUCCCCCAUUUCCCCCCUCUGAAUCCGCCACUACAAAUGUUACACCUAAAAUUUAACAGUUGGAAUUGUUUGGCUCUUUUGAGCGCUUGCCAUUGAAUGAUGUAUAUAUUAACUAUAUUGAGCUCGACAUCGUCUCAGAGGAUAGCUAUUCCCUACAGGGGAGUAUUCCUGCGGUCGAUGUCACCAUCGAUCAGACAAUAUUGCACAGGCUAGCCCUCCACAAGUAUCUAGCUAACAAUCCUUACCUACAGUCCGGAAAAUUUCGGGAAGUGACGCUAGCCAGUACAAGAAUUGCAUUUGACUGAUAGAAUGUUCCAACGUAUGGCAGUCGGAUACACGGAACAGACUGUGCGAGGAACCAGGAAUUGCUGAGUGGUCGAUUUCAUUUACGAAGUUGAUGGUAUUGCCAGUUAACUGCAGUGUAGUGAACAAGUUUGAAACGCAUUAAAGUUAAUUGCUUAUUUUGGCGCGGAGUAUGCAUACUUCUUCGAGAGUUUAGAGAGUAGGUUUAAGAGAAGCUCUCAAAGAGAGACGAUUUAAAUAGGCGAAGAAAACAAAGUAAAAUCAUAUGGAAGGAAAUAAACAAUGAACUACAUAUGUGGACAAUCAGUGACGAAAAUGCUUUAAUUGAUUUACGGCGUGAACGAGUCGGAGAGUUGCGACGUGCUAAACGAAAUUUGCCCAGCUAUGCCGUUAUAUCUGUGCAAAUGGCACACAAAUUUACUCCAAAAGAAGUUCAUGUAAAAAUAAGGAAUCUCACACAAAAAUAUAGAGAGGAAAAGAAAAAAGUUGGACCAUCGGGGGGCAGUCCAUCGGGAUGGAAACAUUUUGCUGCGGUCCAUCAAAUUAGCCAAUGUCAACUGAACCGGUGUGUACGCCAGUAAUGAUAUUGACGAACUCGCCAUUGGGUAGCUCAACAUCAGCAGUGGGUACAUCUAAAAUUUUCAAACAUUUCGUAUGUGUAACUCAUUUAGUAAUAAACGGAUAUUUUCAUUAAAUUCAUUUUGAUCUUCUAAAAAUAACAAAAUUGCCAUUAAUAUUUUCUUCUUAUUCAUUUUUAUUUCACUACUAGCUGACCCCGCAGCCGUUGUCCUGCGUGAAAUUAUGUAUUUUGAAAUGAAAAGAAAGUUAAAUUUAUCAUUUCAUUUUUGUUUUUGCUUUUUUUCAAUGUAACGCAGCUUUAUAAAGAACGUUUUUUGGUUUCUGUUCCGGUGUACAGAAAAAAAUGGUUUUCCAACUCGUGAGCACGCCACGGCCGUGUGAAAAACAUAGCAUUUCCAAAUUUAUGCCUCACACUAUGCGACUACCUUUAGGUCCUGUUGAUUGACAUCACAAGUGCAAUUUUCGCUGGAAACGGAAUACGUUUGAACUUAAAUGAGAAAUCGUUAGACCUCAAAGGAAUUCGUAGAAUCAAGCAUUCUCCCCAAUUAAGAAGAAGAAUCAUUCUCCCCCUUGUAUUCAAUAGGUGCGUCACAAUCAGUCGGGUUCCAUUACACACUUUCGGCGCAUGAAGAUUGCGAAACAUAAUAACGACGGAUCCUACUUUGAGACGCAAAUGAUGCGGUGGCAUACCAAACCUGUCAAAGAAUUUAGAAAUACCACUGGAUAAUUCACGGCGUCGUCUUCAUUAUCAAGACGAUCGAUCGAUUUGUAUGAGCGCAAGUCUCCCGGAAUUUGACUUUGAAUCUUCCAGUUUAAGUCAACAACAUCGGUAAAAUUCACGGCGUCGUCUUCAUUAUCAAGACGAUCGAUCGAUUUGUAUGAGCGCAAGUCUCCCGGAAUUUGACUUUGAAUCUUCCAGUUUAAGUCAACAACAUCGGUAAAUUUGGCAGCUAACAUUGCGCGUGCACUUAAGGAAUCGUAGUUACGAUAAUUUGGCCAAUGUGCGAACAUUUGUGAUGAGUUCAUCUUUCGUGAAUUGAUAAAGGGAAGAUGGAAUUGAUAUCGAACCACCAGAAUAUCAACCGAAAUUGUACCAUUUCCAAAUUUUUAGCGAAGACGAUGUAAAAUGUCUUCGGCAAUGUCGAUGUUUAUAUCGAAAAGUAUGCGAACUUCAUUUUCAUUCCAGUGAUUAGCGGGUUCCAGCAUUUGUAAUUGCUGGCUUACUUCUCCAAAACUUGCACAGAUGGAACCAUUCACAGUAAGCAAUGACUCAAAUAAAGUUGAACCGAGAACAUUAAUCAAUAGCAACCGAAGCUAGAAACAAUCGUCGUUUUUUCGGGUGGAUUGUGUAAAUUCGUCCUAAUGAAUUAGUUGAUAAGACACCUGGAUGUCAAUCUACUGGUUGGCCUUGCUUUCUGCGUAAUAUCAAGGUAUUUUCGAAUAGAGCAAUGCUCUCACAAACGCAUCACUGACGAAAGCUGAGAAAAAACUCGUCAAUGUUAAUUUUGUUGCUGGCGAUGUUUCCACUGGCUGUAAUGUAUUCUCUGGGAUGAAAUACACUCUUUGGCCAUUCUCCAAAUUAACUGCGAGACGCACAACAGUCGGAAAACGUUCAUGAAUUGCAAAAGUAAAUAUCCUACAAAGCGCUUUAGUGCAGUUCACGUAUCGACCAUAUCGUUCAAGACCAAUAACCGCCAUGUUGCUUCCUUUGGUGACGUACUUACAAACGUAUUUUAUCGAUAACACCAAACUGCAACAGUGGCGAAUAUGGUACGAUCCAUGUGUUGUCAACUUCGUUACUCACGCCUCUAAAUUAAAUGCUAAAUGUUCUGUUAUCUGGUGAGCGACGCCGAUAGAGUGGAUAUCCAUCAUUUCUAGUUUGUGUUUCCGAAAGAAAAGUACGUGGAUACUGUUUCGUGCAUUUAUUGACAGACAUACAAACCGCAGUGGGAUUGUGGUGUCCGCAAGGUCCAUGAACCGUCUUGGUUUUCAUCACUUCGUAUAAAACUGGAUCUUUCUUUACAUCAGGAAUUGCCACAUGGUUGAAUGAUUUCAUCAAUUUGAUCUGGUGUAACCACCUUCCAAUAUCCAAAGAAGAAUGUGUGAGUGCGGCAAACCUCUCUUUUGCCACUCAACAGAGUACAUCUAGCAUCUAACAGCACAAUAUGUGCGUCGCUUCAAGAUAAUGUCCAUCGAAGCUGUUGCUUGAAAAGUCUUGCUGUGACAUCGUGACGAUCGCUUUCUGAUUGAUCGCGACCCAUAAUACCGCACGUACAUAUGUCAACGCAUCCUGGGAGUAGUCGUUCAUGUGCCUUGGGCUGCUAAUGUAUGUUGAUGCCAAAAAGAACGCCGACCGAUAUUAGCGCGACCUCUUCAUGGCAUCGUGACAAAUUUCAAUCUGUAAUUGAUCACUUUGUGUGAAAAUCACAUAACAUUUUCACGGAAUAAUUUUCAAAAAAUUUUGAAGCAAACGCCAAAUUUGAAAGAUCUAAAUAAUUGAAAAACAAAACAAAAAAAAUUGAAUAAAAAAAAUUGUAUGGAAAAAAAUAACUUUUUGGAAUUGUUCAAUUUUCCGACUUUUCCUCAUGAGAGACAUACAGCUUUUUAUUUCUAAACCUUUCCCGAUCCACAACGAAGAACCUCUUAAAAUUUCAUCAAUAUUGGUUCAGUCGUUCCCUUAGCGUUGCUAAUAAACAAACAUCCAUUCGUUUCUAUGGGAAAAGAAAAGGGCCGCUUUUAGGGAUUUUCCGGCAAUUUUUCGAGUUUUUUUCUCCGCAUAAACCAUCCCUGAACCUCAACGAACAUUUUAAAAAAAGAAUUAUCAAAUUUGGUUCAGUCGUAUGAAAGUGAUGCGCGUACAUACAUUUUGGCGAUUCAUUUUUAUUUAUAUAUGUAGAUACAUAUAUAUACUUAGAUUUCUAAUAUGUAAGUAAACAAAUUUCAACAUCAGCUGUCUAAAUGCACAAGUUUGCCGUCUGGAGGAUGGAGUCAUGUGUAGAAGUUCACGCAAGUGAGGAAUCUCUGAUCGCCAUUCACUUGGGAGUGGUCAGGAACGAUUAUUUUUCAUAUGACUCAAGCAGCUCACGACUUCCGGUCUUUGACCAAGUGUCCUCUGGGUAGCCUAAGGACAUCCGUUUGAAGGCGAGCUAAAGUGAGAAGGCGAAACAAACCCCUACAUAGGGUUGUGCGCUGAGUUUGGGACCCGCCACGUAAAAAAACACCCCCAGUGAAAAGUUUCAACCAGCCUCGGAUGAGAGACCCCCCUUUUGAUGACGACCAUGGCAAACGAAUUAAGGACUAUGAUUUGAGGGCAUGCACCUGGAAUGUCCGAUCCCUUAAUUGGGAAGGUGUCGCUGCCCAGCUGGUUGAUGUCCUCGUGCAAAUAAAGACUGACAUCACCGCCGUCCAAGAAAUGCGAUGGACGGGACAAGGACAGAGACAAGUAGGUCCUUGUGAAGAAUAACAAAGCGGCGGGGCCGAUGGAUAGCCGGCCGAGCUAUUCAAACACGGCGGCGAAGAACUGAUAAGGAGCAUGCAUCAGCUUCUUUGUAAAAUAUGGUCGGACGAAAGCAUGCCCAACGUUUGGAAUUUAAGUGUACUAUGCCCAAUCCAUAAAAAAGGAGACCCCACAAUCUGCGCCAACUAUCGUGCGAUAAGUCUCCUCAAUAUCGCGUACAAGGUUCUAUCAAUCGUAUUGUGUGAAAGAUAAAAGCCCGCCGUCAACAAACUGA